CUACGGGAGGCAGCAGUAAGGGAUAUUGGUCAAUGGGCGAAAGCCUGAACCAGCAACGCCGCGUGGAGGAUGACGGCUUUCGGGUCGUAAACUCCUUUUGGUGGGGACGAGCAAGGACGGUACCCACCGAAUCAGUCACGGCUAACUACGUGCCAGCAGCCGCGGUAAAACGUAGGUGACGAGCGUUAUCCGGAUUUACUGGGCGUAAAGCGUGUGCAGGCGGAUGUGUAAGUGGUGUAUGAAAGCUCCAGGCUUAACCUGGAGAGGUUAUGCCAGACUGCACGUCUGGAGGGAGUAAGAGGGACAUGGAAUUCCGGGUGUAGUGGUGAAAUGCGUAGAGAUCCGGAGGAACUCCAGAGGCGAAGGCGGUGUCCUGGUACUCACCUGACGCUCAGACACGAAAGCAUGGGGAGCGAACGGGAUUAGACACCCGAGUAGUCC
rnacentral:rRNA from 1 species